rnacentral:tRNA from 1 species
GGCCGCGUGGCGAAAUGGCAUCGCGUCUGACUACGAUCAUGUGUUUACAUCAGGAGAUUGCAGGUUCGACCCCUGCCGCGGUCA